rfam:Capsicum annuum cultivar Zunla-1 chromosome 12, whole genome shotgun sequence
ACUUCAUGGUUUGGGCAUUGCAUGUGUUUGUCAUUGAACCUUUACCAUACCUCAUAUAAGGGCUCACCACUAAGUUGAUAAAAAAUUGUUAUUUCGUCUCUUAGUU